GGUGGGAACUCUUCAAGUUCUGAUAUGAUAAAGACCAUUAGAUGCCCGGAUAUCACAGAGCCAGAACCAAACGGAGUCGGGACUUGAACCCACAGCUGUUCAUUUCCAGAACACAGGGCCUCAAGUCACACCAAGCCUAUUUGUGGAUACGCAAACUUUUCUCCACUAAACUACAAUCUUCUUACAUCCGGCCUUGCCAUGCCUCACCUUCCACCUGUACUUCUUCACUGUGCUCUAGCCUCAGAGGCCCUGUGGGCUUUGUGCUAUCAGAAUGGGAAGGAGAAACAAGAGGAAAGAGAAAGCUGGCUGGCUGUUUUCAGGGGAAUGACUACCACACAAGACAAUUCUAAGAAUAAACGAAAAUAGUGCAUA